rnacentral:rRNA from 1 species
UGAGGAAUAUUGGUCAAUGGACGCAAGUCUGAACCAGCCAUGCCGCGUGCAGGAAGACGGCUCUAUGAGUUGUAAACUGCUUUUGUACGAGGGUAAACGCAGAUACGUGUAUCUGUCUGAAAGUAUCGUACGAAUAAGGAUCGGCUAACUCCGUGCCAGCAGCCGCGGUAAUACGGAGGAUUCAAGCGUUAUCCGGAUUUAUUGGGUUUAAAGGGUGCGUAGGCGGUUGGAUAAGUUAGAGGUGAAAUCCCGGGGCUCAACUCCGGAAUUGCCUCUGAUACUGUUCGGCUAGAGAUCAGUUGCGGUAGGCGGAAUGUAUGGUGUAGCGGUGAAAUGCUUAGAGAUCAUACAGAACACCGAUUGCGAAGGCAGCUUACCAAGCUGAAUCUGACGUUGAGGCACGAAAGCGUGGGUAGCAAACAGG